AAGGUAAUGAAAGGAAGGCUUUCCACAGAUCCCAAACUAAAAUGGUUUUUGCUUCACUGCUAGUUCUGUGUAUGCUGAAAAAAGAAUGUGUUGAAAGAUAACUAUUUUUAUGUGAGAAUCACUGCAUUGCCCGUGUUGUGGUACUGGCUCCAGACGACAAGAGUGCAGUCCCGGCAGCCUCCAUCUCCCCAUCUCCCUGCUGCCUUCAUUUCGCCCUCCCGGCCCC
rnacentral:lncRNA from 1 species